UACGUAGGGUGCAAGCGUUGUCCGGAAUUAUUGGGCGUAAAGAGCUUGUAGGCGGUUUGUCGCGUCUGCUGUGAAAUUUCGGGGCUCAACCCCGAACUUGCAGUGGGUACGGGCAGACUAGAGUGUGGUAGGGGAGACUGGAAUUCCUGGUGUAGCGGUGAAAUGCGCAGAUAUCAGGAGGAACACCGAUGGCGAAGGCAGGUCUCUGGGCCAUAACUGACGCUGAGAAGCGAAAGCGUGGGUAGCGAACAGG
rnacentral:rRNA from 1 species